rnacentral:rRNA from 1 species
UACGUAGGGUCCGAGCGUUGUCCGGAAUUACUGGGCGUAAAGAGCUCGUAGGCGGUUCGGUAAGUCGGGUGUGAAAACUCUGGGCUUAACCCAGAGACGCCACCCGAUACUGCUGUGACUUGAGUACGGCAGGGGAGCAGGGAAUUCCUGGUGUAGCGGUGAAAUGCGCAGAUAUCAGGAGGAACACCGGUGGCGAAGGCGCUGCUCUGGGCCGAAACUGACGCUGAGGAGCGAAAGCGUGGGUAGCAAACAGG